AGUCGAACGAUGAACCACUUCGGUGGGGAUUAGUGGCGAACGGGUGAGUAACACGUGGGCAAUCUGCCCUUCACUCUGGGACAAGCCCUGGAAACGGGGUCUAAUACCGGAUAACACUUCCGCACUCAUGUGCGGGGGUUAAAAGCUCCGGCGGUGAAGGAUGAGCCCGCGGCCUAUCAGCUUGUUGGUGAGGUAAUGGCUCACCAAGGCGACGACGGGUAGCCGGCCUGAAAGGGCGACCGGCCACACUGGGACUGAAACACGGCCCAAACUCCUACGGGAGGCAGCAGUGGGGAAUAUUGCACAAUGGGCGAAAGCCUGAUGCAACGACCCCCCGUGAGGGAUGACGGCCUUCGGGUUGUAAACCUCUUUCAGCAGGGAAGAAGCGAAAGUGACGGUACCUGCAGAAAAAGCGCCGGCUAACUACGUGCCAGCAGCCGCGGUAAUACGUAAGGCGCGAGCGUUGUCCGGAAUUAUUGGGCGUAAAGAGCUCGUAAGCGGCUUGUCACGUCCGUUGUGAAAGCCCGGGGCUUAACCCCGGGUCUGCAGUCCAUACGGGCAGGCUAAAGUGUGGUAAGGGAGAUCGGAAUUCCUGGUGUAACGGUGAAAUGCGCAGAUAUCAAGAGGAACACCGGUGGCGAAGGCGGAUCUCUGGGCCAUUACUGACGCUGAAGAGCGAAAGCGUGGGGAGCGAACAGGA
rnacentral:rRNA from 1 species